CCCAGGUGUGUGGGGUGUGGCUCCUGGUCCCACCCAGGUGGGGCCAUUGCCCGAGGACUCUUUGCUGGUGCAGGAUGCAGAGGGAAGGAGUCAACCUCCUUCAGUGCUGGAGCCCACCUUGGCAGGCAAAGCCCUGAACCUUCAGCCAGCAGUCAAGUACAAGCGACUCAACUCGUGCAGGAUUCCCACAGGCGCAGGACAAAGGCAGCAGUGAACACAAACCAGACCAACAGUGCCUAAAGUUUUGACAGAGUUCUGGCAAAUACUACUGGAAUUGACUUUAGUCUUCAAACAGCAUUUCAGAACUGGGACUUUGUUACCACAAAGAUAUAUAAUGGAAUUUCUCAGCUGGUAAAUAGAGCACCCCUCCAAACUGAGACCAGCAGCAAAGGGCAUCCAUUACAGCACGUACCUGAAGGCUUGCUGCUCUGCUCCAGAUUCUCGUGGAAGUCUUCAGCCUGCUGAGGGUGCUGUUCAUCGCAGGGAGACUUCAACACCGCCUCCAUCACAAAACAACUCUCGAGUCAAAAAACAAUGCAGGACUCCGAGGGCACUUCUGGACACCUGGGGGAGCAAGCAUAUCUGGGGAAACAAAUUCUGAAAAACUCCUGAUGAAAGGAUUCAUCUGUUUCAGCUUUGGUGCCAGAAAUACAUUUUUGUCCCCAAAGAAUUUGCGCUCCCUUUACUCUGUCAUCCUUGGGCAACAACAGGGCCAAGAGGCAGGAGCCGGCUCUUUGGAGCCCCGUUUUUGUGCGGGAGCUUUGCUGCAGAGGGCCUGGGACGCUGCUGGAACGGGAUUAGAGUCAGUUCCAGUCUCACAGCUCCGCUAGAAAUUCAACCAAAUGACCCAGAGGCCAAGGAAGGCUCCACCCACACCAUUGCAACUGCUGAUUGCCCUGCGAAAAGGAUCGCACAGAGUACAACAUUACAGAGCACCUUGGCUCUGCUCUGCGCUGUAACUGCUGACCUGCAAUGAGUAGGACAAGGAAACUUAGUGGAAAUAUUGGAACUAUUCUCUGUAAGGUUUCCUGAUGUUUGGAGUCGUUGGAUUUUACUGCAACUAAUGCAGUUGUAUGCUUGUAAAGGAAAGAAUUUUGCUCUUCUUGUUUAUUACCCGGUUUUGGUCAAUUUUUCUUUUUUUAUAGAUAAAAGAAUAUUACUUUUGUUGAAGAGUUGCUCCACUGCACUUGAUAAUGCAUAAAUCUCUUGUUCACUAGAAUAUGAACUGAAAUAAUCUUGUUUACUGCACAAGUCAGGCAGAGAUCUGUAACUGCAGCCCUCAUAACAAGCUGUACUUAGGUUAACAAAUCGUUAAAUGCAGAAACAGGUUCCACCACUUUUGUUAAGCUGCUCUUCCUAUUACACAUUUUAGAAGAAGGGUGCUGGAAUGAGUUGCUGAGCUGCUUUGUUGGUUUUAGUAGGUUUUGAUUUUAUGUGUGGGUUUUUCUUUUCCUACAGUUGUUCUCAUUUGCACUUUCUGUUUAGGGCUCUAAGAAGUCAGUGCAGCAGUUUGAGAUUUAGUUAAGUUAAUUUCAGUGAAGUGUGACUGAAUUUAAGAGCAGAUUAUCUCAAACAUUAAUUGAGGUAUAAUGACAAUAUAAUGUAGGCCAAAUUCUGUUCUUUCUUUUAUCCAUGUAAUCUUAGAGAAGUUCAAAGGGCACCCUAAGCAUUCAUGAGUGCACGUUUGUCCUAGUGCUAAUGACAAGCAACAUCAUUCUAAAUUAACCUCUUGGGACAAUCUUACCUACAGCCAUUUCUGAGUACUGUUGAACCAGGAAUUCUCUCUGCCAGUUAAUGCUUGCAUAAUAGCUGCUGAUUAUUUACAGGUUGCAUACUUAGCUCUGCUGCCUCCUGGCCAGGUCAGAGUUUCAUCCCACUUCCUUGGCCUCCCUGCCUUGGAGUUGUCCUCAUGUGGAAUACCAAAUCACCACCAUUUCUAUUCAGCUCCCAUUAUUGGCACUUCCCUGUCAGUCAUAUCCAUGCUAGCUUCCUCCUCAUCACUUCAGUUCACUUUCACACAGCAAGAAAUCUGCCUUCUUUACAUCUUCUUAUCAAGACCCUGUCUAGCUGUGGUUUCUUUCCUUGCAAUGUCUCAAUUCAUCUUGGUUUCAACACUUAAAAUUAUUUUCCUUUAGACCCAGGUCAUUUAUCUAGCUUGAUCGUUAGCUUCUCUCCAUUUCCUCCUUUCUUACUGAUCCCAAUAUGUUGUGCUCUCUCAUGCUAUCCUUCCAGUGAUGUUUAUCUAUCAUGUCAAAUUUAUACUUUUUUGUUCCCAUGAGCAUAACUGGCCUUAUAGUAUAAUUUCAUAUUGCUUCUUAAUUUAUUGCCCCACUCUAUCUAGCCUGUCAGAAACACCAGCCUUCAUGCUUGCUUUCAUUUAUGUCUUUUUACCUUCUUGUUUCUCCUUUGUUUAAGGAGGAAUUUAAGUCAAAUUGGAUAUGACUGUUUUCAUAUUCUCUCAAAAGUCACCUCUUCAUCAAUGUUUUUCUGCAUGUACAUUUUCACAGGAGAGAGACAGAUUAUAUGUUCUGUUUCCUCAGUACUUGCUUAAGCACCUCCAGCUUAUUUUUGCUCUAAUUUGAAUGAAUUUAGAAAAAGUAAAGGUAUAGCUUCUGCUUUGCAUCUGCACAGCUUCUGUGCCUUUGCUGUAGCAUGAGACACUCCCUGUUUGCUCUUGGCUGGGAUAAGCAGAAACAACUCCUUCACUCGUGGGGCAGAGAAGGCUCCAUCUUCUCGUUCAACACUGAGCAUCCAGUUCCAGCCGUGCACCGCAGCAGGAACUUCUCUGAAGCAAAGAGAAGAAAUGGCAUUAACUCUAAUUGACAAACAAAGCAGCACAUCUAAUGCUCUGUGAGCCAAACUGCUGCACUGCCUUCUCUUGUGGCUGUAUCUCCAGGUUGGAAGUGAAGGGUGAGAAGGCAGAUGACGAGCCAGGCCCGUGCAGAAUGUUCCCUACGGCUGACAAGCAAUGGCCAAAACCCACAUCUGGGAGCUUGCCAAGAAAGGAUCCAAACAUUGCUGUGUGAUUGCAUCCACUGCUGCCAGAACCUGCAGCUGAAUCAAACUUUUGCUGUCUGCUGACAGGCCUAAAAGGAUCUGUGCUGACACUAGAGCACAUCUAUUAACCACUUCCUAGGUCAAUUAAACCAGAAGCCUCCCUGUGUUUGUGCUGUCCUCCAGCCUUAGAAAAACAAGCAAGAUCCAUAAAGGUAAUUGAUGAAUUGUAUCCAGCACAGAGGCAAGAGAUCCUUAACAUCCCCUUGCUGCCAAGAAUAUCCAUUCAUAAAUUAGAAACUUAAAAUUAGAAGUCAGAAGCUACUUAGAAAUGGGCAAAUAAGAGCUGGUGUUGCCCUGUCAGUAUUAGAAGUAUACAUAUACUCAUGUAGACAAAAUUCAAUUUUAAUGACAGUAGAGACGGUUAAAUGUACUAUUCAGUUUUCAUUAACCUAAAUGACACAUGCUUUCCUACUUCUAAUUACUCUUUAUGUUAGCAAUAUGAGUCUAUGGCAAAAGUUUGCUCUCUUUGGCACCAGGUUGAGACACAUCUCUUCAUGCUAUUGUGCCCUUUAGGAAUACUGUCAAAUUCAAUUAUUCAGGACUCGUGAGUCUUGCACUAACAUGAAGAGAUUGAUUUGAAAACCAUGGGACUAAAGUCCUUUUUUCUGUUUUUCAAUUUCCAUUUCUUAACCAGGAAAACUGAGAUUGCCAGCUUUGCUCUCACAUGCAGAUGAGUGCAGCCCUAGAAUAAUGAACUCAGAUGUGUCAGUGACUGUCUCUGCCAGCAUUUUCUGAUCAGCUAUAUCUGAAAUAUCAAGAAUUGUUGUGGUGUCAGAAAACAUACUGCAAUAACAGUCUCUACAGCUUGUUUAAAGGCAGUUAAAAAUAGAUAUAAAAAUUACUUCAGGCAAAGACAGAGGAAUUCUCAACCUUUUAUAAACUGGGUCUCAUUCAAACAAAUUAUGUUUUAAUAAAAUCUAUUGAUAUAUACCUAAUAAGGAAUGUAGGAAAGUUGAAAAAGGCCAAGCUGAGUAAGCUGAUGAGUUUCCUGUAACAGAAAGGGUUUGUGCAAACCUUGACUUAGAGAACAGCUGGUUAAUGGUAAGUUACAAUUUUUAUCUGUACGUGCAAAGUGCUGAGAGUGGUUGGGCCAUGGUGUGCACAGUUCUGAUGCUCACAUUGCAAGAUGGAUACUGAAAAAACUAAGAGAAGAGCUACAGAAUGAUCAAGAGUCAGAGAAAAUGCAAUGAAGAACUAAAAACCUUAACUUAACUACUGAAUCAAAAAGAUUGAAAGGUGAGUCAAUAACUGUAUACAUAAAUGCACAAAAAGAAUGUUGAAUAUCAGGGACAUUUGAACCUGCCAGACUGAAAUAAGAAGGAAUAAUGUCUAGUAGCUGGAAUCAAGCAAAAUAAAAUCGUUUUCAGUACUUAGUUCAGUACUGACAAUAAAUGUUCCUUGGAAUAGUUAAGGGCUGUCAUUGAUUACUUGGCUUUGGGUGUCUUCAGAUUGAGAGCCAGUGCUUCCCUGGAAAACACAGGCUGUGCUGUGUUUGAGUACAGCAGUGUAUUCAGGGUUGAAUACCCUUGCCUGUAAUUUACAGAUCACACUGUAUACUCCCAUAGUCUUCUUUAGACUUUAUAAAUAAAUUUAUGUACUUUGUAAACUCUCCAAAACAUCUAUAAAUAAUUCUUUUCUUCCUCCCACCCCAAGUUUAGCUUUACUUUCCAUGUGUGUCUCAUCUGUAUAUGACUGUUUUGUCCCACUUGCACAGCACUGUGGCUGGAUAAAUAUCACUGACAGGUUAAGGAGGCACCCACUUCUUGUCUCAGCAGCUGAGACUGCUCAACACCUCUCUGAGAAGUUUCUUAAGUAGUGUCAUGGCCCUCAGUUUCAUUUGACUUGUAGGACAAUGUGCUUCAUCCAGUUCAGCGCUCUCUGUAGCUGCUCUGGGGUUGUGCUUCAGAGGUUUUUCAGCCCUUCUAAGAAAAGGGAUAAAAUCGAAGCUUUCCUCAGCAACAACAGUCCAUUUGAAGUAAUUCAGGUGUUCUUGUAAUUGCAGCAGCUUUUGUGAUUGCUUACCCCUAACAGAAGUAUUUGGCUUGGCCAAACUGGUACCUGUGUAACUAAGAGCAAUUCUGGCAUCUUAUGUGUAUGAGCUGUGUGCUUUUCCUUUCCUCAUGUUGUAUAUUGUCUCUUUGAAUGUAGAGCUACAGUUUUCUUUGUUCUUUAUAUUUUAUCAACACACAAGAAUUUCCUCAUGGUUCAAUAAGAGAUUCUGGUCUCCUAGUAGAUAUGCAGAUAACACUGUGGUUUUGCUC